AGGAAAGGACCACAGAAGAGGGCAGAUGGUCCAACUUGACCAUCAUUUCCUCCAGAAAGAGAACAACUCUGUUUCCAGAGGGAAAAGCUUUAUGCAAGGCCCCAGCUUCAAAGCAUGUUGUGGCUAAAGGACAACUCAACUUCAGCUGAGGACUCCGCCACCCGCUGCCAUGUGUUAUCACAGCUGAGUCCCCCAAAUACCCUCAUCGGAAACAUGUCCGUUUUCAAUCCUGGCCAAGAUCUGAUAAGGCCCAUUGCAUCUGUUCCCCAUUAGAAGUUGCAAGCAUGUUUCUCCCUGUGUUUGCAGGAAGACCCCUUGCACUGGGCCAUGGUGCUCAGGCAAAAUCCCAUCUGGUGGACAUUAAUGGAAUGAUAACAUCUCUGUUUGGGAGGGUAGAAGGGUGUGCAUAUGUGUGUGCAUUUUUGUUUGGUUUUGGAAUUGCGUUUGACUGUUACACUGAUGGAAACCAUGAUAUGUAUCUCCCCCUCUCCCACCUCCAUCUUCCAACAGGCACUGGGCCAAAACUGGUUGGUGGGAUGCUCGUUGUUUUACAUGUUACCCUUCCUUUUCCUUCCAUUAAGUACCACCAGGGGCCUGAGAUUCAGGGUUGUGGGCCUGUUCUCUCUUUUAUUAGAUUCCAAAAGAUUGAGAAGAUGUUGGAGGGCCGAUCUUGCAUGGAUCCCAGAUUCAGUGGAAGGCGUCUUCCAAGACACUAGACUAUACAGUAUUAAUUGGUAGCUUGUGAAUAUAGUUUCUAUGAGUAUACUGUGUUGGGUGAACUCAGCGACUGAGUUUUGUUGGUCUGGAUUUAGCAUGCUAAGCAAACAAACCCAUGACAACCCAGAUCCUUUUUUCCCUUUAUCUUAACAUGAAGUAAAAAUGAAGAGACAUUUAGCUAGUGGAACACAUGCUCUGAACACAGUAUGUUCCAUUCUCAGCAACUCUAACUAAAAGUAUCAAUAAAGUAGAAAGGAAAAGAA